UGGGGAAUAUUGGGCAAUGGGCGCAAGCCUGACCCAGCAAUACCGCGUGCGUGAAGAAGGCCUGAGGGUUGUAAAGCACUUUCAAUGGGGAGGAAAAAGGCAAGUUUAAUACGCUUGCCCUUGACAUUACCCAUACAAGAAGCACCGGCUAACUACGUGCCAGCAGCCGCGGUAAUACGUAGGGUGCGAGCGUUAAUCGGAAUUACUGGGCGUAAAGCGUGCGCAGGCGGCCGCGCAAGUCAGGUGUGAAAUCCCCGGGCUUAACCUGGGAAUUGCGCUUGAAACUAUGCGGCUUGAGUGUGGCAGAGGGGGGUGGAAUUCCACGUGUAGCAGUGAAAUGCGUAGAGAUGUGGAGGAACACCGAUGGCGAAGGCAGCCCCCUGGGCUAACACUGACGCUCAUGCACGAAAGCGUGGGGAGCAAACAGGAUUAGAUACCCAAGUAGUCCCUGAGCGGGCUGGCAAGGCGCAU
rnacentral:rRNA from 1 species